rnacentral:rRNA from 1 species
GAUGAACGCUGGCGGCGUGCCUAAUACAUGCAAGUCGAGCGAACGGACGAGAAGCUUGCUUCUCUGAUGUUAGCGGCGGACGGGUGAGUAACACGUGGAUAACCUACCUAUAGGACUGGGAUAACUUCGGGAAACCGGAGCUAAUACCGGAUAAUAUUUUGAACCGCAUGGUUCAAAAGUGAAAGACGGUCUUGCUGUCACUUAUAGAUGGAUCCGCGCUGCAUUAGCUAGUUGGUAAGGUAACGGCUUACCAAGGCAACGAUGCAUAGCCGACCUGAGAGGGUGAUCGGCCACACUGGAACUGAGACACGGUCCAGACUCCUACGGAAGGCAGCAGUAGGGAAUCUUCCGCAAUGGGCGAAAGCCUGACGGAGCAACGCCGCGUGAGUGAUGAAGGUCUUCGGAUCGUAAAACUCUGUUAUUAGGGAAGAACAUAUGUGUAAGUAACUGUGCACAUCUUGACGGUACCUAAUCAGAAAGCCACGGCUAACUACGUG